rnacentral:pre_miRNA from 1 species
CAAGUACUCCCUCCGUCCUAAAAUUCUUUUUUCUUACAUUUGUGUAGAUAUGAAUGUAUUUAGUCAUGUUUUAGUAUUUUGAUACAUUUAUUUCUAGACAAACCUAAGACGAUAUUUUUGAGACGGAGGAAGUUCGUA